rnacentral:misc_RNA from 1 species
CCCUGCUUCAGGCAUGACGCCGCUCCACUUGGCGUCCUGGGGCGGGCACGCAGAGGUCAUCAAGGUCCUGCUUGGCGGAGGCGCAAAGGGUGAUGCAAGGACCAAAGAAGGCAUGACGGCGGUCCACCUGGCGAGUAUGGGCGGCCACGUGUCCUCGAUGGAGGCGCUGACGCCCACGUGUGACAUCCUUUCAGUCACUCGCGAAAGGAAGUCGGCGCUCCACCUGGCGGCCGAGUACGGAAACUUGGGCGCUGUCGAAUGGCUGCAUCGACAAGGGCUUGACUCUUCUUUAAAGGAUCAUUCAGGCCAGACGCCUCUCCAGUACGCAAAGGACGAGGGGCACAAGAAGGUGGUGGAGUUCCUCAAACGCCAUGAUCAACAGACCCUCAACCGGCGUUGGGAAAAGCAACGUUCACCAGAAGCACUUGCACAGGGAGCUGGGACUAGGGAUGAGGAGGCAGUGAGGAAACCCCUCGACCAGAGAGUGAACCCUGAGAGACCAGGCGACUUGGAAGGAGAGAAAGGGAGCCCAGACUUGCACACCGCUGCUUCUGUGGGUCACGUGAAUGUCAUGCGGGACCUCCUGAAGGCGGGAGCUCCAAACGACACGAUUAACGAAAUGGGUCUUCAGGCUGUGCACUGUGCGGCGAAGGGCGGCCACAUCGAGGCGCUGAAGCUCCUGAAGGAGAGUGGAUGCGAUUUAACGACCAGGACACCCCAAGGCGCCACGACCCUCCACUGCGCGGCCGAGGGCGGGCACGUGGCGGCGGUGCAGUGGCUUCUCGACCACGGCAGCCUCAGUCUCGAUUCCCUCAACAACGACGGAGACACUGCCCUCGAUGUGGCUCGAAAAAACGGCCAACAUACCGCCACCGCCCAUUUGCAAGAGGCCAAACACCAAAGAGACAUGAAGAAGCUGCAAGAUGAGAUGAAGGAGAAAGAACAAGAGAAUACAAGACUGGCUGCAGAACUGAAGAUGAAGAAGAACUCGAAAAGGCCAAACACGAAAGAGACAUGAAGAAGCUGCAAGAUGAGAUGAAGGAGAAAGAACAAGAGAUUACAAAACUGGCUGCAGAACUGAAGAUCAAAGAAGAACUGGAAAAGGAAGAAAUGAAGAAAUUGCAAGCGAUGUUGAAGAGCAAAGAUGAAGAAAUUGAGCGAA